GCCAUGUGGAAGACCAUCAUGGGCUCAGCCAGGACUGUGGAGCUGGUGCAGCUGACACUCCUGGAUGUGCUGGGGAGCUGGCCAGAGCACAGCACGUGCACGUCCGAUGGGGACGAAACGGGUGUCAUUGCCCUGGCUGCAACUGUGGUGAUGUGGAAGAUCCUCCAGGUGCCCUGUAUCCCACGUAUAUUGAAGGUGUAUUUCCCCCGCCUCUUUGUGCAUCUGCUCUUCCAAGUGUUCUUCAGCACUCUGGAUAUGCCAGAGGAGGUCGAUACCUUCUGGAAGGGAUGCCAGGAAGAGCACGGCCUUGCCACCAGCCCAAACAGGUGCUCCAUCCUGUUUCCCUGCCACGUGGCCUGCGAAGGAGCCAGUGCUGCCAGUGUGACCUGGGCUUUGCUCUGCACACAGGUUUGCAGUGCAGACCCUGAAGUCCCUGCUCUGCCUUCUGCGGUGUGAGGAUGUGGUGGUGGCAAUGGAACGCAGGCGUGGCUGGGACACGCUGCUCUCUGUUGACACCCACCACUUUGCUGUGGCUCUGCUGGGCAGAGAAAUUUGCCAAUCAGACAUACACUUUUGUUCCGA